UACGUAGGGGGCAAGCGUUGUCCGGAUUUACUGGGCGUAAAGAGCGUGUAGGCGGCCACGCAGGUCCGUUGUGAAAACUGGAGGCUCAACCUCCAGCUGUCGACGGAAACCGUGUGGCUAGAGUCCGGAAGAGGAGAGUGGAAUUCCUGGUGUAGCGGUGAAAUGCGCAGAUAUCAGGAAGAACACCAAUGGCGAAGGCAGCUCUCUGGGACGGUACUGACGCUGAGACGCGAAGGCCAGGGGAGCAAACGGG
rnacentral:rRNA from 1 species